UGAACCCAAGUUCCUGGCAGGCCU
rnacentral:siRNA from 1 species